GGCGUUAGCUUUCUCUCUGAGACAUUUCCCUCAAAUUUUCUAUGUAACCCCAUUUUUUAAACGGAACCUUUUCUCAUUUUAUAAUGUGUGCGUCCUGGCUUGAAUCCGGAUUUCUUUGUUAGAAAUCAGAACAGAGCAAGCCAUGAAUUUCUGCAGAAAAGUCUGUAGUUUGCCUCCAAUCCUUCUCUAGUUGUAGCCUGCUAUUUAUUUGUUGCAGAAACUGAAGUUCUUGCACACCUUUUUCUCUGUUUGUCAGUAGGCAACUAAGGUACUGAGAGGUGAGAAAGUGAUCAACUGAUCAAAUACCUACUUGUUGUAAUCUCUGCAAUUUCAGAUUUUGCUCGAAUUUUUUAGGACUUUAUCCUGCUCCUGAAGCGACAAGUGUUCGAGCACGAGACCUCCAAAAUUUCAACCUUGGAGGGCUUUCAUGUUCUCCCUUUGCGGCAGAGUCUCAAGCUGCUCAUUGCACUUACAUGAAGUUUCAGGUCCUGGGUUUUGGAAAUGGCAACUGUAGAGAAGUCGCACUCCCAUGUUGAUUUGGAAAGGGGAGGUCGUCGUCGUUCUGUCGCUGCAAGCGACGCAGGGAGUGAGGGAAGCAUACGCUUCUCCGAUGCUGACGACAGAUCGUGGCACUCCCAGUUCGGUUCUACUGCCGGUGGGUCGUGUGAAGAGCAUAGGUGCUCCAGUGUGUCCGAUCCCGAGACUGGGAGGACUUCAGGCCACCGCCGGAAUUCUUCGGCGUCGGAUUGUUCGGUGGAGGUAGAUUUGGAAAGUGGGGUUCCGGAAAUUAAGGUGCAUUCGGCUAAAGUGGACAAGGAUUGCAGGAUUUGUCAUCUGAGCCUGGAAAGCACUAAUCAGGAAUCUGGGAUUCCUAUUGAAUUGGGCUGUUCUUGCAAGGACGAUUUGGCUGCUGCUCACAAGCAAUGCGCCGAGGCUUGGUUCAAGAUAAGGGGAAACAAGACAUGUGAAAUUUGUGGUUCAAUUGCACGCAAUGUUGUUGGUGCAAACGAGACCGAGUUCAUGGAGCAGUGGAAUGAGACAAACAACCCUGCAGCAGCAUCAGCAGCUGCAGCUGCUGCUUCUCCACCUUCUGAGACUCGAAGCUUCUGGCAUGGCCACCGCUUCCUGAAUUUUCUGCUGGCCUGCAUGGUCUUUGCAUUUGUCGUUUCUUGGCUUUUUCACUUCAACGUACCAGCGUGAAACACCAUAAAGUAGAUCCACUCUCCCUCUCCUUCAAUGAUGGAUGAGAAGCAAUCAGACUGAUUGCAGGGGGCGGCCCUCUCUCUCCUCAAGAUAAGGUGAUGCAUCAAGGCAGCAAAUCGACUUCUUGCACUAACCUUCAGAUCAGAGCUCAGACUUUACAGUUAUGGAGUAAGGCCAAGGGUUACAGAUCCGUGGGUUUCGGACUCUUCUUUUCCAGAAGUCAGUACUUGUAAGUUGUAACGGGGAAAAAUUCAGACAUGGGAGAACACCCCCCUUGGAUUGUGAUUAUUCUCAGCUUAUUCCAAGAACCCCUAUAGCAAGAGUGAAGAGUAUUCCUUUUUGACCCCUUGGUAAAUGGGGAAGAAAAAGAACAGUAGUAAGGCUAAACGAUUUUGAGAAAGAUGAUAUUGGGAACACUGUACCUGUAUGAACUACGAAGGAUUUAAAGUUGUUAAUAGGCAGAACCGCAAACGCAGAGCUGAGGGAAUAGGGAGUAAGAGACGUUGCAUUCCUGUGGGAAUAAAUAGUAGAAAAUGUAAUCGAAGAAGUUGCUUCUUGCUUGCAGUGGCCCGUCAAAUCGAGAUUCAGAAAGUUUCAGAGUGGUCUUUUACUUUUAUUUGAAAUUGAAA